AUUAGAUGAUAGAACGAAAUAAAAUUACAUCUACUAGAUUAAUCUAUCCGAUUUGAUCAGAAGUUUGCUUGCAAAAAUUGAAUUUUGGGCAACGAAAUGUAUUUUGUUACUUACUCCUAAGAUGUUUCGAUUCAAUUAUUUUGUACAUAAAAGUAAUGAAUAAUACCUUUAAACGAUAUAUUUAUCACCGUUAUCAUGUAUUUAAAUGUAGUGUCUCGAAUAUUUAUUAUUUCGGUACGUACUAAACCAUAAUGAUUAUUUUAUUUGUUUAACCCAUGAAGUCAUAUCCCAUCCAGUCAUAAAUUCUACUAGAUCAGUCUAUAAGCCAAUAUACUGGAAUAAACAUUUCCUAUAAUAUCAUAUUCAGUGA
rnacentral:lncRNA from 1 species